GCAUACCUAUCUCUGCCUCUUUGAAGUAUUAAUAUAUUUCUAACCCUCUAGACCCAGAGUUGAUGAUAAUUUUCCUUAUAGCAGAAUAUGAUCCUAUUCCCUACAAGAUACUUAGGGAUUUUAGACAAGCCAUCUCCUCUCACAGACCUACAUCUUCAUGUAUGAUGGGAUUGUUGAGAGGGAUAGCUAAAACAGAGCAUCUGAUCACCAGGACUGUUCCAGGACUUGUUAGAACCUGCUGAUGAAUCCUUUCAUUUCAGGACUUGGUGGCAUGAAGAGACUAUGUCUCCAUCUGGCCUCGGAGAGAUGUUAGUGGAAAUGCUGUCCUUUGACAACGCUAGCGGAGAAUGUCAACGGGCUCUACACUCAGUUCAAACAGCAGAAGGCACCUGGGAAGAUAACAUGGAGCCUGCAGUGACUCUGGGUCUCCAAGCUGCUUCCUCCUAGACAGGAGAGUCUUUGUGCUCUUGGGACUCCUUGCCUUAUGCCUGUGGUCUGCUUUUGUUUCUGCCUUACCAAGCCUGGAUACUCUUGCUUUUGUUUCUACUUUUAGGUUGUAAAGACACAGAUGCCACUGCUCUCUGAGUUCCUUAGAUGUCUGGUUCAAAAGUGCUUUGGGUAUGGAUAAUAUUAAAACAUAUGUUGUCAUGUGAUGUUUCAGCUCACUGAAAAGCUGGCUUUGAGAUGGGAUUUGACCCCCCUACUUCAGACCCAAGCAUGUUUGUCUCAAAGUUUCUUUCAAACUCUGAAACUAAGGCUAUUCCUCUGACUCUGUGACAGGCAGGGAAGGGGGAAGGGAGGGAGGGGGAAAGAGAGACAGAGACAGAGACAGAGACACACAGAGAGAGACAGAAAGAGACAGAGGGAGAGAGAGAUGCCAGAAUAAAAAACAUUAAUGGAAAGAAUUCCUACUUUCAAACAUGGCUACUGUGUCAGGAGAAUUGAAAAUGAAAAUGAAGGAACCUCAAACAAAUUCUGAGCUGCCACUAAUUAAUUAUUUAAUGCUAAAACAUUGUUUGGGUUGUGAAUAGUUUCCUAGUAUGUGUUCUUUAAUAUUAUAGGAAACUCUCCUCUUGUCUCAAAUCAGUUGGAUCAAUUAUGAAGAGAGCAAUAAAAUAAUGAUUGUCUGUUGGUGGAGCUGGCUUCAUAGGUACCCUUGGCUUCUUCAAUUUCUGGGACCAUGGAUAACUGUUAAGAAAAAUGUUGAUUUUAGUUUAAACUGCACUUUUCAAUGGCUCGUGGACUCCACAGGUCAGCUGUGCACUUGUGAGCACAUCUGGUGAUAGUAAUGAGAACUACUCUGUAUGUUUAUCAGUGCUUCUCUGUCCCUGCUUUGAACCUUGAGCUAUCUUGGAAUAAAAGCUUCAGAGAAUCUCAGUAAAGGUCUAUGGAGCAGUAAUCACCUGAUUCUGUCAAAUCUCAAGUUCCUCUUCACUUCCUUGGCUCUAGUCACUAGUGAGUCUUGAUAAAGAGAAACUUCAAUUGAGAAAAUGCCUCCAUCUGAUUAGCCUGUAGACAAAAUUGAUGUAGGAGGGCCUGUCCACUGUGAGUGGUGGUUCUCAGAUGUAUAAUAAAGCAGGCUGAACAGACAUGGAAAGCCUGCCUCUAAGCAACAUUCCUCAUGGCUUCUCCUCCAGUCCUUGCCUCAGUUCCUGCUUUGACUUCCCUCAGUUUUGGACUAUUAUCAGGAAUUGUAAGGUGAAAUAAAUCCUUUCCUCCCUGUGGUGGUGGAAUAGGUAUGGCUGCCAUAGACUCCUGAGUUUGAAUGCUUGUCGUAUAGGGAGUGACACUACUAGGAAGUGUGGCCUUGUUGGAGAAAGUGAGUCACUGUGGAGGUGAGCUUUCUGGUCUCAUAUGUGCUCAAGCUAGGCCUAGUACACAGUUGCUUCUGCAGCCUGCAGAUCAAGAUGUAGAAUUCUCAGCUCCUUCUCCAGAACCAUGCCUGCCUGCAUCCCACCAUGAUGAUAAUGGACUAAACCUCUGAAACUGUAAGCCAGCUGCAAUUAAAUAUUUUCCUUUAUAAGAUUUGCCAUGGUCAGCAGGGUGGUGGUGGCACAGGCCUUUAAUCUUAGCACUCAGGAGGCAAAGGCAGGUGGAUCUCAGCAUGAUCUUCAGCAUGUGCAGCCUCAUGCUUAAGGUGGGCGGGGUUGAAUUUCCCUAGGCUUCUGUCGCUCCUCCUGAGAAUGAGGCCUGGGGGCGGGUUCAGAAAGAGGUGAGUCCUCUGGCUGUGCUGAAGGUGGGGAAGAGGGCUGAGGUCAGUGGGGAGCAGAGCUAUGGUGAGGUUUCCAACUUAGGGGAAGUUGGGAUUGCAGUUGAUGAGCACAUAACUGAGCGGGUCUGAGGGUGGGGCCUGACUUUGAAGCAAUUUAUAGAGGACUCUUGGAAAAAGGGCAGGGUCCUUAGCGUUUGGGAAUGUGGUGGGGUCAGAGAUACAAGAUACACACACAUCGGGAUCAGAAGCUUGGAGUAGGCUUGGUACUGAAGGGUUGGUACUUCCUGGGCCAAGGUCCAAGCUGCAGGUGGAACCUGAUAUCUGAGGAUCUGGGUUGUGGGGGCUUCCUGGCAUACUUCUCACUGAUCCAAUCUUCCCACCCACCUUUCUUCAGCUGAAGUGGUGUGCUUGGGUUGCCGUCUACUGUUCCUUUAUCAGCUUUGCCAAAUCCCGGAGCUUGGAGGAUGCUGGGGACCAGCCUCAGCAGUUUCGAGGGGCUCAAAGGGCAGGGAUGUCUGGCAGGCACAAGAAAAGACUCGGACACAGGAGUUGGUACAAGCUGACGAAUCUUGUCAGAUCUGGAGAUGUGCGUCUUCUCCACCUCCUCCCGAUCUGACUCAACCCCAGUCUUUUAUUGUAAUAAUACAAGGAAAUAGGGCAUGAAAAAAUCCAACAGGUAACUGGGUUUUUUCACAAUAGUUUCAAAAGUUCUUUUUGGAAAGCAGCAAAGUGUACCCCGUGCCCCUUGAUUGCACAUAGAAGUUCCCAGGCAGAAAGCCAAAGCAUACCCGCUUAUUCUUUUGCAGGUUAAUAAUUAUCAGAACAUCUGAUGUUAGCACCCCAGAGGCCAUCUACUGCGGUUUCUCAGAAAGCACAGAAGUACAAGCAAUGGUUUAAGGUGCCAGACUGCCAGCUUCCUCUCAGCUUAAGUUCUUCUUCAUCACUCUGUAAUUCAUCAAGCUGUCUUCUAACUAGUUCUGGGCAACUCUUGUCUUCUAUCCUAUCUAUAUGUCACUCCAUCUACAGCUUUUGUUGCCAGCCUUCAGGGUUUUUCCCAUGACCUGCAUAACAGCUUUAACUCCUGCCACUGUCACAAUCUCAGGAUCAUUUCUAAUUUCAUGGAAACCACUGCAGGAGAGAGAAAGAAAAUCAUAAAGAGGAAAUAGAGUAGGGGGAUUACAAGAACCAGCAACAGUUGGAUGGGCUCUCAAUCUCUGCCGUGGUGAUGUCCUAUCUGCAGAAUCCUCAGCCCAUGACGCCCCCGUGGUGAUGUCUACUAGAAGGCUUGGAUCCUGGACUCCUGUCCACCUUCUCUCUGGCCUAGCCUUUGACUGCCUCCAACCUGCCCUUGGCUGCUGUCUGUAAACUCACCUGAGUGUUGUCUCUGGUCUCCCAGCUGAAUGAGGGAGGAUGGCCCUUUCCUUGGGGUCCUGCUUCUGCUUUGACAAAGGGGUAAACCCGCAGACUUCCCUUUUAUCUCCCUCCCCUGGCUACUGUUAUGAGAAACACUGUUCAUGUUUCUAAGUAUUCGCUUGUUUUCUUGUUGAAAUCAGUUGGUAAAAAAAUUUUCCACUAUG